CGCAUCUGAGCGUUGGCCUGUUUGGUCACCCGGCUGCCGUUUUUUCUGUUGGGAUUUAGCCUGGUUUGGUGGGCUCCCGACGAAUUCUUGCGUUCCGUCUGAACUUCGACAUGGCACCACUGCCCUAUUGAACUACGGCAAGGCUACCUGUUCCUGGGCCCUUUGCUGUGGCCUGCUGAGUUCGUGUCCAUCGGAUUUUGGAUUACUGCUUCUUCCAUGGCCACAUGCCGCGUCACCGGCACCAAUUUCGGACGGAUUCAGCUACCGCGUCUGGCAACAAGGCACUGCUACGCUCUGCACUACCGGCGGCGGUUAUAAAAGCCAUCGAGACAUCGGCGGCUUCGGGCACGGCACCGCAUCUGCGAUGGCGAGUUCACCAAAGCUGCUCUUGCAGGCUACCUGUUCCUGGGCCCUUUGCUGUGGCCUGCUGAGUUCGUGUCCAUCGGAUUUUGGACUACUGCUUCUUCCAUGGCCACAUGCCGCGUCACCGGCACCAAUUUCGGACGGAUUCAGCUACCGCGUCUGGCAACAAGGCACUGCUACGCUCUGCACUACCGGCGGCGGUUAUAAAAGCCAUCGAGACAUCGGCGGCUUCGGGCACGGCACCGCAUCUGCGAUGGCGAGUUCACCAAAGCUGCUCUUGCAGGCUACCUGUUCCUGGGCCCUUUGCUGUGGCCUGCUGAGUUCGUGUCCAUCGGAUUUUGGAUUACUGCUUCUUCCAUGGCCACAUGCCGCGUCACCGGCACCAAUUUCGGACGGAUUCAGCUACCGCGUCUGGCAACAAGGCACUGCUACGCUCUGCACUACCGGCGGCGGUUAUAAAAGCCAUCGAGACAUCGGCGGCUUCGGGCACGGCACCGCAUCUGCGAUGGCGAGUUCACCAAAGCUGCUCUUGCAGGCUACCUGUUCCUGGGCCCUUUGCUGUGGCCUGCUGAGUUCGUGUCCAUCGGAUUUUGGACUACUGCUUCUUCCAUGGCCACAUGCCGCGUCACCGGCACCAAUUUCGGACGGAUUCAGCUACCGCGUCUGGCAACAAGGCACUGCUACGCUCUGCACUACCGGCGGCGGUUAUAAAAGCCAUCGAGACAUCGGCGGCUUCGGGCACGGCACCGCAUCUGCGAUGGCGAGUUCACCAAAGCUGCUCUUGCAGGUCCUGCAGGCCACGAGAGUUUUGGGCUCUCAUGGAGUGGGCGUCUCCCAUGACGGAACCGGGAGGUUGAGGUUCCUGGCAGCGUCGUGGACCUGCUGGACGGCCCAGAGUUGGAGAGCGAGCUCUUCACUCCGGAUUGCCAACGUCGACGGGCAGGGCAGUCACAGCUUCCAAGCACGAGAGCCGUUGCUGAGCAGGAGCGCUCGACCCACUAGUGUUUAGAGCCAGUAGCGCUGAACCCACUAGCGUCUCUUCGCUACAAUAUAUAUAAUUUUGCAAGAAAUCGCCAAAUCUGUUAACCCUGCCCUGCA